UACGAAGGGGGCUAGCGUUGCUCGGAAUCACUGGGCGUAAAGCGCACGUAGGCGGAUCUUUAAGUCAGGGGUGAAAUCCCAAGGCUCAACCCUGGAACUGCCUUUGAUACUGGGGAUCUCGAGUCCGGAAGAGGUGAGUGGAACUGCGAGUGUAGAGGUGAAAUUCGUAGAUAUUCGCAAGAACACCAGUGGCGAAGGCGGCUCACUGGUCCGGUACUGACGCUGAGGUGCGAAAGCGUGGGGAGCAAACAGG
rnacentral:rRNA from 1 species